rnacentral:tRNA from 1 species
GGUGGCUCAGUGGUAGAGCGCUUGCCUUACACGCCUGAGGCCCUGGGUUCGAUUCCCAGCACCA